UUGACUUGGCUUGAGUUAUAUGAUGAUGGAUUUGAGUUUAUGAGAUGAUCUAGAUGAUUAAUGAUGGAUGAGAUUGAAGCUUGAGGUUGAGAAGUGAAAAAUGAAAAAUGUUAGUUUGAGGAAGAAGAUGAUAUAUAUGUGUUUCUAUAUGUGAUUUUGUUAUAUGAUGUUGAUUUGAAGAUUUGAGUGGGUAUAUGAUUUCUUGAGCAUGCUAUGAUGUUAAGUGAUGGUUUAGAUUGAUGAUUAGAAGUGAUGAAAUGAGUUUUGGGAUGAGUUGUUGUUGAGAAUUAUGAUGUUAUAUUCAAGUUAGAGAUAUUAUUAAGAUAUAUAAGUUUUAAAUACAAUUUGGAGAAUUUCGUAGGCCUACUGACCUACUGUGAUCGAUGGUUUGUCGAUGUCUAAUAGCUUUGAAAAUUUUAUAGCAAGUUUCUACAUGAGUAUUGAGUACCCUGGUAAAAUUUCAAGCUAUUUCAAUUUCGUUUGAUAUUUCUUUAAAAUGCAAAACCUAAACUGCACAUUACCACCGAGAAUUUCAGAGAACAGUGGAAAGAGUCAUUCAUUUCAGUAGCUUCCUGUGUGAUAUAGAUUUCCAAAUUUUUAUGGUAUUAACCUUAUUGUGUUAUCUAGAUAUCCACCAAAUUUGAGCCCAGUUUGACAACGUUUACUAUUUUCAAAAAUCAAAGUUUUCGAUUGCUCAAAACUGCCGAAUAUGGUAGAUCGUGGUAAAAACGUCAUAUCUCUCAAACCACUUGGAGUUUUCGCCUCUACUUUUUUUAUAUGAAACUAGACUCGAAGAUCUUUCUUGUGGUAUGAGUCUCGAGUCCAGGAGAUAUCAGAGUCAGAACAGAUUAAAUUUUGAAGUUGAACCAGUGUAAAAACAGAGCAUGUUUUAAUGAUGUUUGAUUGUGAUUCUUAUGUGCCUUAUGUGAUUGUGUUGCCUAUGUGUUUGAAUUUUCACUAAAUUAUUUUAGUGAAUUUAAAUCUCUUGAUUUAAAAUUUAAUAUUUAAGGUUGGGACUAUUUAUUUUAAAUGAGGUCCGUUCUUUUAUCUAGUUUGUUGAUGGACUUUAAAAAUGAAAACAAAUUUUGGGAUUAAACCCUCAUUUUUAUAAUAUUUCAAGGCUUUUUGANUGACUUAGAGCUUAUAAGAGAUAAGAAGUUGACAUGAUUGGGGGCGAAGCUCCCAUUGACUGAGUGAUUCGUUGUGCUGGGUCUGGCCAGCCCACAUAACUAAGAUCUCGGUGAUUGUCAAUUUAAGAUUUUUACUUUGAGUAGAGCGUCAUCCCAAUGUAUAGAAGCUCACUAUGUAGUUCUCACAAUAAGAUUUUGCUUCCAUCACGAUAAGCAUAAUAUGAUUAGAAUGAGUUCGUUUGUCACCAGUUCUUGAGACUAUAGACAUGGUAUUCUCACAAUUAGAAAGAUUCGAUAACAAUCAAGCUAUUUAGUCGCACUGAUAGUGAAGUCUAGUAUCCCAAACUAGAUUAUCCAGAUAUGCAAUUUCGAGGACGAAAUUUUUAUAAGGAGGGAGGAAUGUAACACCCCGCUUUUUCCUAGCUAAAUUUAGAGUAAUUUUGAACUUAGAAGUCAUGAUGAUUCACGCCGGAUAUAAAGAAAAUGAAUUUAUUUUAAUUCCAACAAAAAUGAUUUACAAAAACAUUUGUAAAUUUAGUUAUUAAAUUUAUAUGCAUUGCAUAUUUAUUUAUAUUAUGCAUUUAGCAUCUACACGAGCUAUUUAUUUAAGCAAACACUGAACGAUUAUUACAAUUUUCAUAGUACAACCCGGAAGACUUUUUAUUUUAUUCAAUCACCUAAUUUCUCCACCUAAUUUCUCCACCUACUCUUCCACAUCCACCUACUUUCCCACCACUACUCCUACCUCCCCACCACUACAUUCCAUAUUACACUUAUCAAUAUUACACUUAGCAAGACAAAGCACACUUCAUUUCUUCCUCACACUUCAUUCUCGGCCUCCCCUCUCUCUCUCUAUACUCUCUUUUCCUCCAUUGAUGUCCAUUGAAGAAAGCUUAGAGAAGCUUCAUCAAACACUACUAUGAGAUAAUCCACCAUCCAAUCCAAUCAAAUACUAUCAUAUUUCAUCAAAUUCAAGAAGCUAGAGCUAAGAUCAAAGUUGGAGCAAAGUCUUGAUCACCUUUUAAAUCCUUGAGUAAGUGAUCUUAGAUUAUUUAUUUGAUCAUAUUAAUGAUAUGUGAGUGAGUAUAUGAUCAUGAUUGAGCAAGGAAAUCACCCAACUUAUUUUUAUGAAACUUUCGAAAAUUAGGAGCUUGAAACCCUACGAAUUUUGUUGUUUAUUUUCUUGACUUGGCUUGAGUUAUAUGAUGAUGGAUUUGAGUUUAUGAGAUGAUCUAGAUGAUUAAUGAUGGAUGAGAUUGAAGCUUGAGGUUGAGAAGUGAAAAAUGAAAAAUGUUAGUUUGAGGAAGAAGAUGAUAUAUAUGUGUUUCUAUAUGUGAUUUUGUUAUAUGAUGUUGAUUUGAAGAUUUGAGUGAGUAUAUGAGUUCUUGAGCAUGCUAUGAUGUUAAGUGAUGGUUUAGAUUGAUGAUUAGAAGUGAUGAAAUGAGUUUUGGGAUGAGUUGUUGUUGAGAAUUAUGAUGUUAUAUUCAAGUUAGAGAUAUUAUUAAGAUAUAUAAGUUUUAAAUACAAAUUGGAGAAUUUCGUAGGCCUACUGACCUACUGUGAUCGAUGGUUUUUAGAUGUCUAAUAGCUUUGAAAAUUUUAUAGCAAGUUUCUACAUGAGUCUUGAGUACCC
rnacentral:lncRNA from 1 species